UACCAUUUAGACAGACUGAGAAAACACAGGUGUGAAGGCUCAUGCUGAAAUUCUGAGGCUGAUGGCGACUCUGCUGGUGCUGCAGCUGAUCCGGGUGAAGAAGUUGGAAGUGGGACGGCUGCUUGAGUCUCUCCUCCGAUUAAAAGAGUCCCAGGAGCCCAGACCGAUGUACUGGGAGGCAGUGAAGAGGGCUGUGGACUGGGCCUGCCGGACAGACAGACAGUAUCCAUGUGUGUGCAGCAGGCUGGAGAUCGGCCGGGAUUGGGAAUCAUCUACACGUCAACUACUGGGCUGUGAUUCUCCACACCCUUAUUCCCCACUCAAACCUGUUCUAGAGAGACGUAUGGAUGUAUUAGUCAUGUAGAAACUGGAGUUGCAGCUUACUUGCUUAAUAUUUGAAAAAUCUCCUCAUGAGUCUUGUAGAGCUUUAAAGUGCCCUCAAAACUGUAUUAAAAUGUCAGAAUUUUAUUGCAUUAGAAAGGAAAUAUUAAAACAAGUGGCCUUUUCUUGAUAGCUUUUUCCCCCAAAACUAGACAUUUUUUCCUUCAAUCACUUGUAAUCAAAUGGCGCUGAUUUUUAGUGAAUGUAUGAACUCAUUUCUUCUCAAGUUCACACAGAUGUCCUAGCAGAGCAACAAACAGCUGUAGUUCAUCACAUUAACUAUGAUUAUGAUACAGUGCAUCGGACCAUGUCCGAAUGAUGACCGAAACUUGAAGCUUUACUGCACAUUCAGCAACAUGGAAAUGUCCUUUUUAACUUCAGAAAUCACCAUAAGAGCUGAAUAAAGUACAAAGAUACGCAUUAAAAGUCCUGUCCGUAAACUCUCUCUCAUCACAUUAUUGGGGGGUAAAUAAAUUAGUAAACCUUAACAUACCUAAACAUAAUUAAACCCACAAAAUAUGAAAAAUAAAUACAAAACAAGUUAGAAAAUGAAUUACAAUAUAGUCUGUUACAUUGCAGCAUGUUGUUUUAGCAUUUAAAGCAUAAAAUUAUAUUGUGAAAUGUUUUCUUGUAAGUGUGUAUGUGCUGUCUUUUUUGAAAUAAAUGAAAUGAAUUAAAAUAAAAGAAAUAUAUUGUUCCAGUAAACAAUAGCAUCUCAAUGACAAACACAGUCACGGACUUUUGUUCUGUUUAAUCAUGCACACACACUGGUGCUUCAAACUAGAUAUGUUGAUACACAUUCUUUGGAAAAACAAAUCUUAUUAUUAGAAGAAUCAAUAUAUCUGUUCUAUGUCCCAUAAAUUAACAGUAACAGCCACAUGUGAAUGCAAUAACAGCUUGUGUCACAAACAUGACGCAUCAUCACAUAUUAACAUAACACUUGUGUUCGUAGUCCAUGUGCACAAUGAGGGAGAGCCUGUUCUUAAAGAGUCUAAGCCCAGCAUGCAUAUGAGACCGCAAUUACAGUCAGCUCAUUGUUUCAGUUAAAGAUUAAGUUAAAAUAAAAUUAAAUAAUUGUUUUUUUGUUUGUUUGUUUGAUUUUUUGUAUUUUCAUUUACUGAUACCUGGAACAACUUGUAAAUGGCAUUAAAAUUUGAUCAGAAUAAACUCAA